AGAGUUUGAUCCUGGCUCAGGAUUAACGCUGGCGGCGUGCAUAACACAUGCAAGUCGAACGAUGAAACUCAUUAGAUUUCUUCGGAAUGAAAAUGAAUGGAUUAGUGGCGAACGGGUGAGUAACGCGUGAGUAACCUGCCUUACACAAGGGGAUAGCCUCUGGAAACGGAGAAUAAUACCCUAUGACAUUAAAGCUUCGCAUGAAGUAUUAAUCAAAGUGUUUUAGCGGUGUAAGAUGGACUUGCGUCUGAUUAGCUAGUUGGUGAGAUAACAGCUCACCAAGGCAACGAUCAGUAGCCGGCUUGAGAGAGUGUACGGCCACAUUGGGACUGAGACACGGCCCAGACUCCUACGGGAGGCAGCAGUGGGGAAUUUUGCACAAUGGGGGCAACCCUGAUGCAGCGACGCCGCGUGAUUUAGAAGGCCUUCGGGUUGUAAAAAUCUUUUGUAUAGGAAGAAAAUGACAGUACUAUACGAAUAAGGUCCGGCUAAUUACGUGCCAGCAGCCGCGGUAAUACGUAAGGACCGAGCGUUGUCCGGAAUCAUUGGGCGUAAAGGGUACGUAGGCGGUUAUCUAAGUUAGAAGUCAAAGGCUAUAGCUCAACUAUAGUAAGCUUUUAAAACUGGAUAACUUGAGAGAUGGAAGGGAAAGUGGAAUUCCUAGUGUAGCGGUGAAAUGCGCAGAUAUUAGGAGGAAUACCGGUGGCGAAGGCGACUUUCUGGCCAUUAUCUGACGCUGAGGUACGAAAGCGUGGGUAGCAAACAGGAUUAGAUACCCUGGUAGUCCACGCCGUAAACGAUGAGUGUUAGGUGUCUGGUGUUAAAACUGGGUGCCGCAGCUAACGCAUUAAACACUCCGCCUGGGGAGUACGCACGCAAGUGUGAAACUCAAAGGAAUUGACGG
rnacentral:rRNA from 1 species